UCUUGUGUACACACACACGCGCACCACGAGGAGCGAACCAUGCGCGCGGUAUAUAGGUAUCGUCGCAUGGAACAAAGCAAGCCCUGUUGUUUCGGUCAUGUAUUGAUUUUUUAAAGCGCGUUGAUUUUGGACGAGACCAUCGCAGAUAUAGGCAAUCAUGUAUAUGUAUGCCGAGCGCACGUUGGAGAGAAUUUUUCACGCCCGCGCUUUCAAGGUCAUGUUUGGUCGUUAUCAGGCGAAAAUUGCCGAGAGCGUGUGCGGAGUGCAGACGGGCGAAAUGGGCGCUGUUUGAAAACAAAAGAGAUCUAACCUCACUUUUCGCGCGAAGGGAAGGGGGCAGCGCAACGUGUGUUUGUUAUUAUGUCAUCAAAACAAAUCUCUCACAAUGCGAUCUUUCUCUUCUCGCUCGCGAUCGCCAUGACGCCAUGCCUUUUUUUAAAACUUCGAACAGUUCUCCCGAAUUGGCGCUUUUUUAAUUAUAUCAGAGUUUUCCGCCAUUUUUUUAUAACUUUUAUUUUUUUGCAGAAAAUUAUAUCUUGAUCGUGAUGCAAAUUUAAAAAACAACCGAAUCACGUGGUAAUAAAAAUUCAAUAUGGCCAUUAGAAAGGCAGCAGUACGUACUUAUAUGUAUGCUAUUGCAGAUAAAACUUUCAGCCAACGAUCAGUAGUGUAUAUAAGUUACCUGAUUGGUAAAUAGUAAAAAAAAACGAACUUUGAGCAUAAACAAUGUUGUCAAACUUGUUUUCCUCACACCUACCACAAGUCGCGAAUUGAGAGUUAUCAAAAUUACACAUAGUUGUUCUACUUAUACCUGGCUUCAAUAAUCUAUUUAUUAGUUAAUGUGGCUAGAUACUUCUUAUCUUAAAAAUUCUCAAUAACCAACUGAAUUGUAGUAAUGGGCCGCUAAAACAGCUACAGCUUAUCUCAAGAUAUAAUUGAAAUGUAAUCAACAACUUUCGUUGUUGAUGUAAUAAAAAACGUCAAGUAAAAUACAGUUUGGCGUGCACAAUUUUGAAUAAAAAGGAUUUUGCGAAACAUUAAAAA